rnacentral:rRNA from 1 species
AACGAACGCUGGCGGCAUGCCUAACACAUGCAAGUCGAACGAGACCUUCGGGUCUAGUGGCGCACGGGUGCGUAACGCGUGGGAACCUGCCCUUAGGUUCGGAAUAACUCCCCGAAAGGGGUGCUAAUACCGGAUAAUGUCUUCGGACCAAAGAUUUAUCGCCUUUGGAUGGGCCCGCGUUGGUUUAGCCGGUUGGUAGGGUAAAAGCCUACCAAGGCGACGAUCCAUAGCUGGUCUGAGAGGAUGAUCAGCCACACUGGGACUGAGACACGGCCCAGACUCCUACGGGAGGCGGCAGUGGGGAAUAUUGGACAAUGGGCGAAAGCAUGAUCCAGCAAUGCCGCGUGAGUGAUGAAGGCCUUAGAGUUGUAAAGCUCUUUUACCCGGGAUGAUAAUGACAGUACCGGGAGAAUAAGCACCGGCUAACUCCGUG